rnacentral:miRNA from 1 species
AAGCAGGAGGUGUCAGAAAAGUCACCACAGGGAUAACUGGCUUGUGACAGCUAAGCGUUCACAGUGACGUCGCUUUUUGGUCCUUUGA